rnacentral:rRNA from 1 species
UACGGGGGGGCAAGCGUUGUUCGGAAUUACUGGGCGUAAAGGGCUCGUAGGCGGCCAACUAAGUCGGAUGUGAAAUCCCCAGGCUCAACUUGGGAACUGCAUCCGAUACUGGAUGGCUUGAAUUCGGGAGAGGGAUGCAGAAUUCCAGGUGUAGCGGUGAAAUGCGUAGAUAUCUGGAGGAAUACCGGUGGCGAAGGCGGCAUCCUGGACCGACAUUGACGCUGAGGAGCGAAAGCUAGGGGAGCAAACGGG